ACUAGGGUCUGCUACACAAGCAAUUGGGCCCAUGCCCCAAAAACGGUAAUCCCUACCCCCUAGUA
rnacentral:tRNA from 1 species